CAUCUUAUCCGUUUGAGAUGUACCUACCGCGGCGUGCGCCCCCGGUAACGGGGGUGUGAAACCCAUGGGACAACGAGGAGAUGAGCAGGACCCUGUUCUGUUCCAUCCGCCAGGUAAAUGACGCCAGGGAGAAGCAAACACUGAAUCACCG
rfam:Methanoculleus sp. MAB1 isolate Methanoculleus sp MAB1 genome assembly, chromosome: chrI